AUUGAACGCUGGCGGCAUGCCUUACACAUGCAAGUCGAACGGCAGCACGGGGCAACCUGGUGGCGAGUGGCGAACGGGUGAGUAAUGCAUCGGAACGUACCUUUCAGUGGGGGAUAACGUAGCGAAAGUUACGCUAAUACCGCAUAUUCUGUGAGCAGGAAAGCAGGGGAUCGCAAGACCUUGCGCUGAUUGAGCGGCCGAUGUCAGAUUAGCUAGUUGGUGAGGUAAAGGCUCACCAAGGCGACGAUCUGUAGCGGGUCUGAGAGGAUGAUUCGCCACACUGGAACUGAGACACGGUCGAGACGCAUACGGGAGGCAGCAGUGGGGAAUUUUGGACAAUGGGGGCAACCCUGAUCCAGCCAUGCCGCGUGAGUGAAAAGGGCCUUCGGGUUGUAAAGCUCUUUCGGCCGGGAAGAAAUCGCACGGGCUAAUACCCUGUGUGGAUGACGGUACCGGAAUAAGAAGCACCGGCUAACUACGUGCCAGCCGCCGCCGUAACAC
rnacentral:rRNA from 1 species